rnacentral:rRNA from 1 species
GACAGAGGCCUCGAGCGUUAGGCGGAAUCACUGGGCUUAAAGCGUGUGUAGGCGGGCCCGUAAGUGUCUUGUGAAAUCCCACGGCUCAACCGUGGAACUGCUGGGCAUACUGCGGGUCUUGGGCCAACUAGGGGCAGCCGGAACAAGCGGUGGAGCGGUGAAAUUCGUAGAUAUCGAGAGGAACACCAGUGGCGAAGGCGGCUUUCUGGACGAUCACUGACGCUGAGACGCGAAAGCGUGGGGAGCAAACAGG